rnacentral:rRNA from 1 species
GCUGAAGGAGGAGCUUGCUUCUCCGGAUGAGUUGCGAACGGGUGAGUAACGCGUAGGUAACCUGCCUGGUAGCGGGGGAUAACUAUUGGAAACGAUAGCUAAUACCGCAUAACAGUUGAUAUUGCAUGAUAUCUGCUUGAAAGGUGUAAUUGCAUCACUACCAGAUGGACCUGCGUUGUAUUAGCUAGUUGGUGAGGUAACGGCUCACCAAGGCGACGAUACAUAGCCGACCUGAGAGGGUGAUCGGCCACACUGGGACUGAGACACGGCCCAGACUCCUACGGGAGGCAGCAGUAGGGAAUCUUCGGCAAUGGACGGAAGUCUGACCGAGCAACGCCGCGUGAGUGAAGAAGGUUUUCGGAUCGUAAAGCUCUGUUGUAAGAGAAGAACGAGUGUGAGAGUGGAAAGUUCACACUGUGACGGUAUCUUACCAGAAAGGGACGGCUAACUACGUGCCAGCAGCCGCGGUAAUACGUAGGUCCCGAGCGUUGUCCGGAUUUAUUGGGCGUAAAGCGAGCGCAGGCGGUUAGAUAAGUCUGAAGUUAAAGGCUGUGGCUUAACCAUAGUACGCUUUGGAAACUGUUUAACUUGAGUGCAAGAGGGGAGAGUGGAAUUCCAUGUGUAGCGGUGAAAUGCGUAGAUAUAUGGAGGAACACCGGUGGCGAAAGCGGCUCUCUGGCUUGUAACUGACGCUGAGGCUCGAAAGCGUGGGGAGCAAACAGGAUUAGAUANCCUGGUAGUCCACGCCGUAAACGAUGAGUGCUAGGUGUUAGACCC